GGUGCAUUCGUCUAGUGGCCUAGGACGCCGGCCUCUCACGCCGGAAACUCGGGUUCGAGUCCCGGACGCACUA
rnacentral:tRNA from 1 species